GAUGAACGCUGGCGGCGUGCCUAAUACAUGCCAGUCGAGCGAACGGACGAGAAGCUUGCUUCUCUGAUGUUAGCGGCGGACGGGUGAGUAACACGUGGAUAACCUACCUAUAAGACUGGGAUAACUUCGGGAAACCGGAGCUAAUACCGGAUGAUAUUUUGAACCGCAUGGUUCAAAAGUGAAAGACGGUCUUGCUGUCACUUAUAGAUGGAUCCGCGCUGCAUUAGCUAGUUGGUAAGGUAACGGUUUACCAAGGCAACGAUGCAUAGCCGACCUGGGAGGGUGAUCGGCCACACUGGAACUGAGACACGGUCCAGACUCCUACGGGAGGCAGCAGUAGGGAAUCUGCCGCAAUGGGCGAAAGCCUGACGGAGCAACGCCGCGUGAGUGAUGAAGGUCUUCGGAUCGUAAAACUCUGUUAUUAGGGAAGAACAUAUGUGUAAGUAACUGUGCACAUCUUGACGGUACCUAAUCAGAAAGCCACGGCUAACUACGUG
rnacentral:rRNA from 1 species